rnacentral:rRNA from 5 species
UGUGGCCUUGAGCCGUGGCUUUCGGAGCUAACGCGUUAAGUAGACCGCCUGGGGAGUACGGUCGCAAGAUUAAAACUCAAAUGAAUUGACGGGGGCCCGCACAAGCGGUGGAGCAUGUGGUUUAAUUCGAUGCAACGCGAAGAACCUUACCUACUCUUGACAUCCAGAGAACUUUCCAGAGAUGGAUUGGUGCCUUCGGGAACUCUGAGACAGGUGCUGCAUGGCUGUCGUCAGCUCGUGUCGUGAG